CGUCACCAAAGACCUCCUGAAGUCGUUAAUAAUCCUAGGGAGGGAGUGGGGGGUGGGAUUCGUGAGUUUUAUUCGUUCAGGUAUGAGGAAAAUUAAGCUUUAAAACAAGUAAAUAAUUUUACCCAGUGGAGUGGCAGAACUCAAGCCCGCAUCUCUUCCAAGUCGUGGACUGAAGAAAUCCUUCAUUGGUGGUGUUGAGGAAACACUUGAAGAAGUCCUCAGGGAACAGAAAAGGAAUUUAUUGGAAGGCAGUUGGAUAGCUAAAAUAAUAAAUAGGAAGUCUGCAGAACCAAGCUUAGAAAUGGGAAGGAAUCAAGGGAGACUACUGGCUGGCAGAGACACAGAAAAAUGAAUGUUGCCCAUUUUUUGGCUUCAGAUUGGAAUCCAAAAUCAGUAAAGUGUUCCAGGAUCAUUCAUUUAUCAG